UGUUUUUAGAAUCGGUUAAAACCCCUGCGUGUCCCUUUGCCAUUGGGUAUAUAAUUUUCCAUGUCUUUCUUCAUCGCUCUUCCUAGAUGUUCCAAGGAAUCAAUCCCUCUUUCUCCUCCAAUCCCAAUCACUCCAUCUUCUCUCUAGCUUAUGAUCUCCAUAUCCUUCUCUUUCAGAGAGGUUGAUGUCUGGCGUUGGAGUAAUCGUUUCGGAUCCAUGACUACAAAGCCAGUUCAUGCAAGUCGAGCUUCGUUCUCUCAAGUUUGCGGCGUUUACGUUAGAGGAUCUUCCACUUGUGUUGGUGAAGUCACUCACCUCUGCGUUCAAGGAGAAAGAAAUCAGAGAGAUCUUACCAUAUUUGGCUUCUGAUUACGCAGCCUACGAUGAUCUCGAUUUCGAAUCGUUUCUCACGCUAAUCUAGCAAGAGCUUCACUGGAUUCUGGAACACAGCAGCAAGAUCCUAGCAAGCAAACUCAAUGUUUCACAUACCGAGAACUCGCCACCGCAACUAACAAUUUCAGGCUCGAAUCUAUGAUCGGACAUGGUGGCUUCGGUUCUGUUUUCAAAGGAAAGUUAGUGUUUCCUCCUGGACAGAACAGGAUUAUCGGAGAGCAAGAGGGGUUUUUAGUGGGGUUUUUAAGGGGGGGAGGCGGCACAAGAAGGAAAAAACCGGUCGCAGAAAGCCCAGAUUAAGGAUCGACUAUUGUUGGGGUGUUGGACUUUUCGCGGGCCCCACUGACACGUGGCGGCCCGCGGUUGGUGCAUUUUUUUAAUUUUUUUUUAACCAAGAAAAAAAAAAUUUUAAAAAAAAAUUUAAGAAACCCAUUAAGGAUUUUAUGGGAUAAUCAUGGUCUUAGUUUUCCAUAGAAUUGUAAGGGCAUCAUUAACCCCGGUCUCUUAGUCGGAUUCUUAACUCAUGAUUUGACUUUUUUUUUUUUUUUUACACUUUUCGGAUAAGAGACGGUUUUUAUAUCUCUUAUUUAAGAGACGGUUCUUAAUUUUUUUUAGUUAAAAUCUAAAAAACGGUAAGAACCGUUUCUUAGUCAAAAAAAGCUAAGAGACUGAGGUUAAUGAUGGUCUAUCAGCUUACUUGGUGAACAAUGUUUUCAUAAGUAUAUGUCUACGAGAGUAAUAGAAACCUUUAUUUAAAAACUAAAAGGUAACUGUGACAUGACAUCUAAAGAAAUUUGGAUGCAUACACGAGUUGCUCUAUCUUUCCUUAACGUAAAAGGCACGACCACAUAAAGACACAGAAAGCCUCCAUGAAAUAUUGAAAUGAUUGAGAUUCUCCCACGGCUUUUAUUUCCUUCUUUUUCUCUCUACAAAUUAAAACUUUCUUCUCUUAAAAGGCCAAUUAUAUAUUUGAUUCUUCAUGUCGUCUAUGACAUUAACACAUUUAGACAGUUUUUCUACUCUGCUUAUCCAGUAGUAGUCUUUUAUUACAACUCACAGACCAACCGGACCUCGUGGUCUGGUGGUAAAGGAACCUCAGCUGAGAUGCCCGCCAUCACGAAUUCAAACUCCGGCCACAGCGGAUUUAAUAUGGUUUCCGUUUGGUUUCCAGGACCUUCCUCGCCAGUUCCGAUUGGAUGCGGUAGGAUAGUCGGACUAAGUGAGAAGUCCGGAUACCUGGAUUAUUAAAAAAAAAAACUCACAGACUGUGGUCUGCUAAUUUUUAAUUUGAAUGAUGAUACAGAUUUAUAACACUAAAACUUUGGUUAGUCUCCAAUCUUUCACAUAAUAACCAAAAAUAUAUAUGAAACUUAAGCUAAGAAAUAAGUAAGGGAUAUUGUUCAAUACAUUCCUCUAGUUUGAUGCUCUUUUUAUUUAUAUAAUAAAAGAUGUCCAACUAUUAUAAAAUAAAUGUGGAAAAGCUGCUUUUGUGGAAGGAAAACAACUAAGCUUUUCAUAGGAUGAAAGUUUAUAAAGCAAUUUGAGGUGUUGAUUCUUGUACUCGUACUAGUUUUAUAGUAUA